UGGGGAAUAUUGGGCAAUGGGCGAAAGCCUGACCCAGCAACGCCGCGUGAAGUAUGAAGGCCUUCGGGUUGUAAACUUCUUUGAUCAGGGAAGAAACAAAUGACGGUACCUGAAAAACAAGCCACGGCUAACUACGUGCCAGCAGCCGCGGUAAUACGUAGGUGGCGAGCGUUAUCCGGAUUUACUGGGUGUAAAGGGCGUGCAGGCGGGCUGAUAAGUCAGAUGUGAAAUCCCCGGGCUUAACUCGGGAACUGCAUCUGAUACUGUUGGGCUUGAGUGCGGGAGAGGAUAGUGGAAUUCCUAGUGUAGCGGUAAAAUGCGCAGAUAUUAGGAGGAACACCAGUGGCGAAGGCGGCUAUCUGGACAGUAACUGACGCUGAGGCGCGAAAGCGUGGGUAGCAAACAGG
rnacentral:rRNA from 1 species